rnacentral:rRNA from 1 species
CCUACGGGAGGCAGCAGUGAGGAAUAUUGGUCAAUGGGCGCGAGCCUGAACCAGCCAAGUAGCGUGAAGGAUGACUGCCCUACGGGUUGUAAACUUCUUUUAUAAAGGAAUAAAGUGAGGCAAGUGUGCCUUGUUGUAUGGACUUUAUGAAUAAGGAUCGGCGAACUCCGUGCCAGCAGCCGCGGUAAUACGGAGGAACCGCGCGUUAUCCGGAUUGAUUGGGGUUAAAGGGAGCGUAGAUGGGUUGUUAAGUCAGUUGUGAAAGUUUUCGGCUCAACCGUAAAAUUGCAAUUGAUACUUGCAGUCUUGAGUACAGUUGAGGUAGGCGGAAUUCGUGGUGUAGCGG